rnacentral:sRNA from 1 species
CUCAGCUUGAGAACAGGUUCCCAAAGAGGGGGCCAGCUUCCUGAGACAGAGAUUCUCAAGAGGAAGAAUGAAACUGUAAUGUUACCUGGGAAGACUGCCUUUCACUCCAUUGGAUGAUGGGAGCCCAUGAGAAUGAGUGUGGCAAAGGCAACACUGCUAAGUCAAUGAGGAAGAGCGUUUGAGGGAUAUGGAAGAGAAAGUCUGAAGACCGAGACAGAAAUGAACUUGAUAUGAUUCAGGAUCACCAUGGCCCUGCCUGGCUUCAGUGGCUACAGUGCCCAGCACGGACGGCUGUAAAGACGAAGGAACGAUAAAGAACCUGGUGCCUGUUAUACCCCCACGAGUUGACUAUAGAAACCUGAGGGUGAUUGUACUUCCGGCUUAGCUUCUCUCACUCCUCAUCCCGGGAUCACGAUAGGGUCCCGAACUCAGAAGUAUCUCCCAGGAGCAGACGGGAAUAAAUACAAAGCAUCUCUUGCUGCGGAAUUCAACACAAUAAACAAAUGCUGAGUCCCCGUGAUUUCCAAGGUGCUCUGACAGUUGCUGACAGUAGAAGUUGGGCAAGCCCUCGUUGCCAUAGAGUUUGGUGGUUGGGGGAGGUGGUAGGAAUGACAACAAAUCACUCUUGCAUCAAAUUGAAUUUUCAGCUCACUUCGGAGAAUGAGUGGUGUACGUCUAGACAAUAGUUCCUCUUUCGCAAUCAACAGUAAUGAUUCAAGGGAAAAACAACAGAAUUUUGUAACUCUGGUACUUAUACUUGGGGUAGCUAAAAUGUUUGGGAACAGAAAUUAUGUUUAAAGCAACCAGUACACUUUGAAGAAACAGUUGGGGGAGGGGGUGUAAAUGUUUUUCUGUAGGCCCAAAUCAAGCAAGAGAGGCACCAUCUGCAAAAUGAAGGCUUUUUCCACAUUAUCAGCUAAAGCACACCUCAAGCUCCCUACCACACAGGUGUCAUGGUAUUAAGUAAACUCUAGGUAUCAGGCCUGUUUAUCACACAGUAAGGUGUGGUGAAUUUUCGUUACCACCCCCCCCCCUUAUUUUUCCCACUGUCCUGACCAGAAACUUGGCCCUGAUUUUAUAAUGCUUGCCCACACUGAGCUAGCAUUAUAAAAGUGAGAUCUCUGAAUGCCUUUAAGGACCCUCUUUUUAAGCUACUGGGAAGACUUUAGACCCUACGUUACCCAUUAACUCAGUUCUGCUUCCUUACAGCAUCAACACCCAGGUUCUAGCAUUCUUCUACCCCAGGAUGCUGGGCCCAGAGUAUCCUGAACUAGCACAGACAACCUAGCUUGCAGCCCCUCCUCCCAAGACACUCAGGGUCAGGAGGCUCAGCCAGCCCUGGCCCUCGUGCUUAGGACUUUUGUUACCUAUUCUGGUGGAACUUGCCCUUCCUGCUGCCCAGACAAAGUAUUAAAGAGUGUUAAGGACCAGGAGGGCCUUCGAGUGCUGAGGUGUGGUCCUUGCGCGGUUCUAAUAGCCCUGAGAUUAGGACUCGACCACGCGCAGGAAGGGAACGCGCGCUGACCAGGGGCGAGCAAGUAGAGCCCAGGAACGUGGUCGGGCGGCCGGGUUCCUCCAAGGCCAGUCUGGCAGGGUAGGGGUUCCGCGGGGUCUGGGUAGUGGGGUGCAAGUCGAAGGCGACCCAGUGACAAAAGAAGGGCGAGGAACAGGGGUGGCAAGCGGAAAGCGGAG